rnacentral:rRNA from 1 species
UCCAGACUCCUACGGGAGGCAGCAGUGGGGGAUAUUGCACAAUGGGGGGAACCCUGAUGCAGCGACGCCGCGUGGGUGAAGGAGCGUUUCGGCGCGUAAAGCCCUAUCGGCAGGGAAGAAGGAGGACGGUACCUGACUAAGAAGCCCCGGCUAACUACGUGCCAGCAGCCGCGGUAAUACGUAGGGGGCAAGCGUUAUCCGGAUUUACUGGGUGUAAAGGGGGCGCAGACGGCAGCGCAAGCCAGGAGUGAAAGCCCGGGGCCCAACCCCGGGACUGCUCUUGGAACUGCGCGGCUGGAGUGCAGGAGGGGCAGGCGGAAUUCCUGGUGUAGCGGUGAAAUGCGUAGAUAUCAGGAGGAACACCGGUGGCGAAGGCGGCCUGCUGGACUGCGACUGACGUUGAGGCCCGAAAGCGUGGGGAGCAAACAGGAUUAGAUACCCUGGUACC